GCCAGAGUGGAGGAAUUGGCAGACUCGCUGUCUUCAGAAGGCAGUUCGCGCAAGCGAGUGCGGGUUCGAGUCCCGCCUCUGGCACCA
rnacentral:tRNA from 1 species